AAAAGCCUUACACAGCUGAUAUACACAAUACACGUGCUUCAUGUUGUUGUCGAAUUAAAGUUGUAAGCGGAGAGAAAUUUGAUAGAGUCCUGUCAGUUAGAGAUAUUUUAUAAUCGUGUUCUAUAUACACAUAAAAUUAAUCAGCCAUUAUUGGUACUGUAGGUAUUGUCACACAACCAAAAUGCCUAAUUUAACUGAUUUAUCUCAUUUUUCCUUAAAGAUCAUAUUUACGAUUCACACGGUGUUAUCGUUCCUAACAUGGAGUACGCAAGGAAGAUGUCCACAAUCUGUGAUAUUCUACAAUAUGUUAUUUUUUGUUUGCAUAUUAUGGGCUGUUUAUAAUAUGGAAUCAGAUGAACCACUUCAAUUUGCUCUUUUCAUAAAUGUACUCUCUGUAUUCUUUGACGUGGUUAUUUUAGUAGUCAAUUAUGAUUCAUUCUAUACAUUCAGUCUAGCUUUUAUGAUCAUAAAUUUGGUUGCCCGUCCUGUUACGAGUAUAUAUCUGCUACGAAUAGGUCAAGGAAGAAAUGGCACUUUAGCCACGAUAUUUGCACCAAGUCCUUCCAUGGGUCAGUAAUUCACUGGAUAUAUAUCUACACUUUGUAGCACCAGUGCUUCUUCAAGAUCUGAUUUAUUAAGUUUGUGCCGACAGGACUAUGAAGAGAUAUCUCAUCUAAUCCCACAAAACGCUGAUUUCGAUAGAGUUUAGAGUUGAACAAAGCUCGCAUGAAAUAACGAUUCUAAAUCCGCAUCUCUGUUCAAUGUACAUGUCUGUAACAUAUUUUAAAUAACGUUUUGUAAGGUUAUUUAUUAAUUAUAUGCACGUAAAUAUUAUAAUAUUACAUGAC